GCCUCUGUAGCUCAGUGGUUAGAGCACUGGUCUUGUAAACCAGUGGUCGAGAGUUCAAUUCUCUCCAGGGGCU
rnacentral:tRNA from 1 species